rnacentral:rRNA from 1 species
CCUACGGGUGGCAGCAGUGGGGGAUAUUGCACAAUGGGGGAAACCCUGAUGCAGCGACGCCGCGUGUGGGAAGACGGUCCUCUGGAUUGUAAACCACUGUCCCCAGGGACGAAGAUGACGGUACCUGGGGAGGAAGCUCCGGCAAACUACGUGCCAGCAGCCGCGGUAAUACGUAGGGAGCGAGCGUUGUCCGGAUUUACGGGGGGUAAAGGGAGCGGAGUGGGGACUGCAAGUUGGGUGUCAAUUCUAGCGUCUCAACCGGUAGCCGCACUCAAAAAUGGAAUUCGUGAGUGAAGUAGAGGCAGGCGGAAUUCCUAGUGUAGCGGUGAAAUGCGUAGAUAUUAGGAGGAACACCAGUGGCGAAGGCGGCCUGCUGGGCUUUUACUGACGCUGAGGCUCGAAAGUGUGGGGAGCAAACAGGAUUAGAUACCCGAGUAGUC